rnacentral:rRNA from 1 species
AGUCAUAUGCUUGUCUCAAAGAUUAAGCCAUGCAUGUGUCAGUACACGCCUCCCUAAGGCUAAACCGCGAAUGGCUCAUUAAAUCAGUUAUAAUUCAUUUGAUCACAAACCCCUUCAUACUUGGAUAACCCUGGUAAUUCUAGAGCUAAUACGUGACCUUAUACUCUGACUGCAAGGGAAGAGUGCUUUUAUUAGUUUAAAACCAGUCGGGCCUCGGUCCGUCAAACACAAAGUGUGGUGACUCUGAAUAACUUUGGGUGGAGAGCACGGUCUCCGCACCGGCUCCAUAUCUUUCGAGUUUCUGCCUUAUCAUGCUGUGGACUGUAGGCCAUGCGCCUACAGUGGCUGUAACGGGUAACGGAGAAUCAGGGUUCGAUUCCGGAGAGGGAGCCUGAGAAACGGCUACCACAUCCAAGGAAGGCAGCAGGCACGCAAAUUACCCAAUCCCAGCUCGGGGAGGUAGUGACGAAAAAUAACGAUGCGGGACUCUUCUGAGUCUGCGUAAUCGGAAUGAGCACAAUUUAAAUCCUUUAGCAACAAUCAAUUGGAGGGCAAGUCUGGUGCCAGCAGCCGCGGUAAUUCCAGCUCCAAUAGCGUAUAUUAAAGUUGUUGCRGUAAAAAGCUCGUAGUCUGAGGUCUGUUCCGGACUGGCUGGGGAGGUCACCGCCCGGUGCUUCCCCGUCAGGUUCCGAACAGCUUCUGCCGCGAGCGGAAGCCAUGCCGGUUCUCUCGGGGUGCUCUUGACCGAGUGUCCCGUGUGGCCGGCAGGUUCACCUUGAACAAAUGAGAGUGCUCAAAGCAGGCUACUCUUAAAACUAAAGCCCGAAUGUUAACUGCAUGGAAUGAUGAAAGAUGAUCUCGGUUGUAUUUUACUGGCUUGUGAUAAAUCCGAGUUAAUGAUAAACAGGGACUGUCGGGGGCAUCCGUACUACGACGCGAGAGGUGAAAUUCAGUGACCGUCGUAGGACGAACAACAGCGAAAGCAUUUGCCAAGAAUGUCUUCGUUGAUCAAGAACGAAAGUUAGAGGAUCGAAGGCGAUCAGAUACCGCCCUAGUUCUAACCCUAAACGAUGCUAACUAGCUAUUCGCCGUCGUUAUUCCCAUGACGUGGCGAGACGCCCCCGGGAAACCUCAAGUCUUUGAGUUCCGGGGGUAGUAUGGUUGCAAAACUGAAACUUAAAGGAAUUGACGGAAGGGCACCACCAGGAGUGGAGCCUGCGGCUUAAUUUGACUCAACACGGGAAACCUCACCAGGCCCGGACACCAGAAGGAUUGACAGAUUAAGAGCUCUUUCUCGAUUUGGUGGGUGGUGGUGCAUGGCCGUUCUUAGUUGGUGGAGUGAUUUGUCUGGUUAAUUCCGGUAACGAACGAGACUCUGGCCUACUAACUAGUGGAUGGGUGUUCUGACAGUGGGGCCCCAUCCGAUAAUGUCUUCUUAGAGGGAUGAGCAGCGAGUAUAGCUGCAGGAGAUUGAGCAAUAACAGGUCUGUGAUGCCCUUAGAUGUCCUGGGCCGCACGCGCGCUACACUGAAUGGGUUAGCGGGUUUUCCUUCUCCGAGAGGAGCGGGAAAUCGCGUUAAAACCAUUCGUGAUAGGGAUUGGGGCUUGCAAUUGUUUCCCAUGAACGAGGAAUUCCCAGUAAGCGCAAGUCAUCAGCUUGCGUUGAUUAAGUCCCUGCCCUUUGUACACACCGCCCGUCGCUACUACCGAUUGAAUGAUUUAGUGAGGACUUCGGACUGGCGGUCUUGGACUGGGCUCCUCUCGUUGUCCCCUGCAAAGGGGGCCGGGGGACCUGCCUUGACCAGCCGGAAAGAUGUCCAAACUUGAUCAUUUAGAGGAAGUAAAAGUCGUAACAAGGUUUCCGU